CUACCAAUUCAAUGUUAGUUGUUGUCGUAAAGCAAUGAUUCAAGACUGCUCGGUAAGUAUUGAUUAUUAAGCGAUAUAAUUUAUAUAAAAUAUAAUAUCAAUUAUUCGUAAAAAACAAUAAAUUUGGGCUUGACUACGAAGUAUUAAGGUUGACUUGCCAAAGUCUCUCUCUCUCUCUCUCUCUCUCUCAGUGCUCAGUGUGUCUGUGCAAUCGACAGGGAUAACUGACCACUCGAUCGUCUUUGCUUUCGGUUUCGAUGCUGAUCUUGUUCGUCAAUGAAAGCCAGGGACCUCACUUCCGCUUUGUGUCGAAUUGUGUAUUACAACUUUUCUGAGAACUGAGGAUUGAAAAUUUGAGAAUUCUCGGAGAAGGCCAGCGAGUCUACAAGGAUUAGCUCUGAAAAGAGAGAGAGAGCAGAUCAAGUAUUAAUUUGAGGAACUUACAGCUCGCCUUGGCUGAUAAUUCAUAACAUAAAUUUGGCAUUUCAGAUAAAGUUAAAGAGCAGUGAAGGACCACAUUGCAACAAUGGCAACAAUAAGAAAAAGCCAGAGCACUGGCGGAUCCAGCACAACCAGGCUGCAGAUGUCGGCUGCUGCAGUUGCUAGCAGUGAAGACCUCUUGAGAGAGAUUCUUACGCGUCUUCCUGUGAGACAUCUUGUCAGACUCAAGGUUGUGUGCAAACAAUGGUGCUUUCUCAUCUCUGAUCCUGAGUUUUCUAUCAGUCAUGCCCGCAGAAACCGUAGAUCCAAUGGUUUAUUGUUGAAACGUCUCAAUCAAGCCCCAGGACUUUCACUCGUUCCCCUUGAGGAGUAUCAACCUCCUAGGGUUUUACCAUUCAACUUCCUCAACAAGCAGGGUAAAAAUGUUUUAGAUUCUUGCAAGGGCUUGUUGUGCUAUUCUAUGGCAGAUCUUCACAACCCCAUGCUCAUUUCUUACUAUGUUUGUCAUCUUGCUUCUGGGAUUCCACAAGAAUCGGUGUGUUUGAUGUGCUGUCAACAAUACAUGUGAGCGUUGUCAUUGUAUCUUUUGAUCCUUCGAAGUCAGUUCACUACAAAGUUAUCUUGAUUCAUCAAAUAUCUUCCUCAUCAUCUAACUUUCUACUGAAAAUUGAUAUUUACUCAUCGGUGACCCAAUCUUGGAAUCCUGCCAAAGUUGUCACGGUACCAUAUGAUGCAGGAUUUAACAAUGAAGCAGUUUACAUGAAUGGUGCUAUUUACUGGUAUGAUCAAACCCAAAAAGCAGUUUGGUACCUUGAUUUAGAUGCAGAAUGUCUAGACAGAGUGCCGGAUUCAAAGGAUUGGCUGAAAAUAAGUUCUGUCAAGUAUUUUGGUGAGUCAAGUGGCAACUUGCAUUUCAUUGCAACAUGCAGUCUCCAAACUACGCUACUUACUAUCUAUGAGAUGAAACAAGACAGGUCUGGUUGGUUUGUGAAAUAUCAUUGUGAUCUUAGUGUUCUGGCAGAUGCAUUCCCAAGGAUAUUCUGCGCUCACUCUGAUAACCUUCAUGUGUAUCAUCUCUUGUGCCUACUAGAAGGAGAAACACAGGAGGAGGUAACUCUUGUGAUGGCAGUACCUGGGGAAGUGAUUUCUUACAAUCUCAAGACAAAUGCCUCAAAGACUCUCUGUCAUUUUGGAAUGUUUGGAGUAAUAUAUAACUGGAACGGGGCUUAUGAAUUGGAGACCCUUGGGAUCAAGACUUACCAAUACUUGGAGACCCUUGCUCGCAUUUGAACACUG